GACGAACGCUGGCGGCGUGCUUAACACAUGCAAGUCGAGCGGAAAGGCCCUGCUUUUGUGGGGUGCUCGAGUGGCGAACGGGUGAGUAACACGUGAGUAACCUGCCCUUGACUUUGGGAUAACUUCAGGAAACUGGGGCUAAUACCGGAUAGGAGCUCCUGCUGCAUGGUGGGGGUUGGAAAGUUUCGGCGGUUGGGGAUGGACUCGCGGCUUAUCAGCUUGUUGGUGGGGUAGUGGCUUACCAAGGCUUUGACGGGUAGCCGGCCUGAGAGGGUGACCGGCCACAUUGGGACUGAGAUACGGACCAGACUCCUACGGGAGGCAGCAGUGGGGAAUAUUGCACAAUGGGCGGAAGCCUGAUGCAGCAACGCCGCGUGCGGGAUGACGGCCUUCGGGUUGUAAACCGCUUUCGCCUGUGACGAAGCGUGAGUGACGGUAAUGGGUAAAGAAGCACCGGCUAACUACGUG
rnacentral:rRNA from 1 species